UUUGAUCGACCCCAGCCACAACGGCUGAUCGGCCGGCCGGCCCUGGCCGUAGGUCGCCAGAAUCGCUUGCGCCUC
rnacentral:antisense_RNA from 1 species